CUUCUGUAUUAUUGGCUCCGUGGAUGAAUACCCCCGCGGCCCUGUCUCCUCCUCCUCCACAUAACACACCAGACAUUCACCCUUGACGGCCCCGAGAGCGUCAGUGUGUCAUCUCACUGAGCUCAGCGUCCUGCUCACACUCGCCACUCGGCUUUACCCUCCACUGAUCACACCCCCCAGUGUGCCUCAGUGGGGUGUGUGAUCACUCCUGUACCACUAUCCUCUGAAAUGAUGGGGGAAGAGGACCUACUCUUCCUACUGUCUAGGGUGUGGGACGACGUGGAGGUCUUCACAUGAUGGCCAACACCUCCACGGGGUGAUGACACUGGGGUUUACCCAGGCGUCACACACUCUCGCUGUUAUCGUCCACUACUUACAAACCUUCACGGGCUUCACACCACUGGAUCUUUCCUAACAAAAUACUGCCCUUCACGCCAUCCCUACUUAUCCUGAUACCCUCAACCGUCUCAGUGUGGCGAUCCAGAGGGGAAACGCCUGCUGCGUCCUCGGUUCCUGUCCG